GUGACCCCAGUAAGGGCGGGAU
rnacentral:rRNA from 1 species